rnacentral:rRNA from 1 species
UACGGGGGGGGCAAGCGUUGUUCGGAAUUACUGGGCGUAAAGGGCUCGUAGGCGGCCCUGUAAGUCCGUUGUGAAAGUCAAAGGCUCAACCUUUGAAAGCCGAUGGAUACUGCAGGGCUAGAGUCCGGAAGAGGCGAGUGGAAUUCCUGGUGUAGCGGUGGAAUGCGCAGAUAUCAGGAGGAACACCAAUAGCGAAGGCAGCUCGCUGGGACGGUACUGACGCUGAGGUGCGAAAGCGUGGGGAGCAAACAGG